rnacentral:lncRNA from 1 species
GUGCUUGAUAAGAAGCAGUGUGGACAACUCUAAAGGACACUGGAAGGGAAGAGGAAGGAAGUACAUUGGUUCUUCAGGAGGCGGGGGAUGCGGUGGACAGGAGAAGUAGCAGUGACAUGGUACCCUCUUGACUCUUGCAAACAAAAUCUACCCUGGUUACCACAAAUGCUUUUCUCCAUGCCUUUGCUUUUGAAAGUAUUAGCUACAAGGAUGAGUCUGGGAUCCAAAGUGGACACUGUGGUGAAAAGCAUGGCUACUUCUGGAAAGAACUCAGAUGAAGAGAAGGAGGGCCCAUCCUAACUCAGAGUACCUCAUCACAAAUUGGAUUGCAGAGAACUCAAAUGAAGAGGACAAGCAAACUCAGGAAUGUGGAGCACCCAUCAUCUGCCAUGGUCAAGGAGAUAAUCUGUGGAGAGAGAGAGAAAACAGAUGGAGAGAGCUGCACACGCAGAGAUCCACGAGGCUCCUGAGAAUAAACAAGAAUCUCUUGGCUUCUCAAGAGCCUUCCAGACUUUCCUCCUUAUGUUUGGGAGUUUUCCUGACUGCCCUCCUUGACCUUGGUCAGCAAGGACACUUAUAAACUUGGCGGUGUGGGGUGUGUGUGUGUGUGUGUGUGUGUGUAGUGGGGAAGGUCAUGAGAUUUAAGCCAGUUUCUAUUAUUUUUUUUUUGUCUUUUGUCUUUUUAUGGCCACACCCAUGGCAUAUGGAGGUUCCCAGGCUAGGGGUCUAAUUGGAGCUGUAGCUGCUGGCCUACGCCACAGCCACAGCAACACGGGAUCUGAGCUGUGUCUGUGACCUACAGCACAGCUAACAGCAACACUGGAUGCUUAACCCACUGAGCAAGGCCAGGGAUUGAACCCGCAACUUCAUGGUUCCUAGUCGGAUUCAUUAACCAUUGAGCCACAAUGGGAACUCCUGAGUUUCUACUCUUCAUAUACAUAAAGUUCCUAAAGCAUAUUGGUAAUACUUUUCUAUUUUAAUUGAACUUUGGUAUUUACUCUAUCAUUUUCCAAUGGAUGUGGCAUCAACUUAACAUUCUCUAGCCUCUCCUUUCAUUAUUACCUGGCCCCUAAAUAACUUUUGCCCCCACUUCUUGUCCCUCUUCCUCCUUUUGGGGCUCCACCAUCUUUGCCUCUGCUCAGCUAUUUCUUCAACUUCAUCCUUAUUCCUAGAUGUUCUAGGCAAUCUCCUACUCAACUCAAAGCUCAACAAAAUAUCUCUUCCUCUGUAAUGUCUUUCUGAAUAAUUCAGGAAAGAUGAAUCAUUUUGCUGUUUAUAUUCACACAGUAUUUUAUUUGCCUUUAAUAUAUUAUGUUAUCAUUAGUGGUUAAAGUGUUUCCCUCAAGGGUAGAGACUGGGUAUCCCUCUCUAUUACUUAUCUUUUAUCACCAUCAUGUAGGACGGCACCAGGAGGGGAAUAAUAAGUGCUCAGAAAAAAAAAAUAUAUGUUUUGUAUGAAUGGACUCAGGAAAUAUCACAGCAAUAUGUGUAUGUGAUGUUUUGUGAAUUCUAGAAAUAAAGUAUGUCAUCCAAGAGUGGUAUAAAUACAUAUAUAUUAUAAGAAUUCCAUAUAGCAUAAGGUACUAAGGAUAAUCAGCAAAUAUAGUGGUUAAUGAAAAAUACCACCAUUAAGGAAUACAUUAAAAUGAAGUUUUGUAAGAACCAAAAAUCAGACUAAAGUUUUCCUUCCUUUUUUUCUUAUAAAAGUAAAAUAUUGAAGAUAAACAGCAUAAAAGAUUAAUUUUUUGGACUAGAUCUAUUUAUUUAAGAUAGAAGAAAGAUUCAUUGAUCAUACUAUUAAGAAAUACGCAUAUUUUCAUGUGCAUGUGUGUAGUAAGGUUUUAAAAUACAAUGUACCCAUUAUUUUCCUCAAAUUCAGGCAAAAGUGUUCUUAAGGACUUACUUUCACUUGUUUUAUUAUUAGGAACAUAGUACAUUUGGUGAUUAUAUAUAGUUCCAUUAUUAAAAUAUAUUAUAUAAUACAUAAUAAAAUAAAAACAUACAGUGGUUUUAAUCAUUAGAUACGUAUUCUAGGAAAAAACUCAAUUCUAUUAAUGCUUUCUCGCUCUGCCUAUUCCUGGCAAGCAGGAACAUCACAGAACAUUCCACACUGGUAGCCAGGUGAUCUAGGCCUGGCCCAUCAGCCUACUUCAAUUUGCAACUCAGGCUUCUUCUUAACUCUUUCCUACUUAAGUCUGAAGGUUGUUGUGAAGAUAAAAUAGGAUAAUGCUCAUGCUAGUUCUUUGAAAAGUAUAAAGCACUAUAUAAAUGGAAGACGUUAUUGUAAAAGGGAGUUUAAAACUAUAGCAUAAAAAGACGUUAUAAAAAUAAAAUAAAAGUGACUCUAGUCACUUAUUUUUAUGAGGUACUUUUCUCUCUUUGGAAAAAUAUAAUUUACUAAUUCAAGAGAGAGCUAUUAAUUUCUCAGUCCUUCACAGCCAUUAAAGCAGGGAUGAUGACUUCAAUUCAGUUUACAAAUGGAGUGGGCAUACUGCAGGGGAAUGCUACUCUCAGGUUACAUAUAAAUGGAAUUAAAUUAAAUUAAUGAAAAGAGAAGAAAAGCAUGUGUAUAUAAACAACUAACUCAUCCCCUAUGAGGCCCAAUCAUUGUCUGAAAUGAGGCAUCAGUUAAAAUAUCUUCACUUUUGCACAUCUCUUUCCUGUACUUCUCCAGAUUUCAUUUGGGAAUUAUUUCUAAAAUACCUGUACUUCUCCAGAUUUCAUUUGGAAAUUAUUUCUAAAAUAUUAUUAAUAAAAAUAAUAUCCGUAUGACACUUUUAACACUUCGAAUAAAAUUAUCAUCAGGUUUUAAAUUCAGUGGGGUAUAGUGAGCCUCUAUGUACCUGCAAUGAUAUGUCCAUGAGAGUACUUAACAAUUUUGUAUGUCUCCAGAAUUCAUAAGGCAAAUCACCCAAUGUCAGAAAAUCAUCUUGGUAAAUGCGGAAAACUGAACUCAUGGCCAUAGAUACUUUUAAUUAGAUAAGAAUUGUCUCUAUACUUUGAUUUUUGACUAUUAUAUCAAAUCUCUUUGGGCUUUUUAAUAAUUUCCAAAAUACAAUGAUAGAUCAAAAUGUAGAGUAUAAGAAAAGGAAAACAAUUUUUUAAACGGCAUGAAGCUUCAUUUGUUUGUUCUGUAAGUUAUCAUCUGAUGCAACCUUCCUGAUGAUUAGUGAUAAUCUGCUGCUGACAAUAAAUCUUGCUGGGUUAGAGAUGAGGGAUAUCUCUGAAUGACCUUAGGGAAAUCUAUGAACAUUUCUAAGACCCAGGUUCUUUACUGGCAGAAUGAAGGAAUUGAUACUUAAUUUUCAAGCUCUUUGUAAUUCUUGAGAGGGUCAAUAGUUAAAAAUCAAAUGACAUAAAUGUUCAUAAAUGUAGUUAUUAUUAAUAUGCCUUGACAUUGUAUAAAUAUAUGUGAAAUGGCAUAUUCCUUGUGGGGGGCAGACGGGGCAUAACAUAGGCUCUCUAUACAUAGCAGUCUUUGUCAUGUUUUUAUUGAUAAUUUGUAUGAAGAUAAAGAAUUCAUUAAUAGAAUCUGCUAAUGGCAAAAAAAUAAGAGUAUCAGAAAUGAGAUACCUGAAUCGAUUCCCCAAAUGAAUUCAAAUUAAGGAGAUGAAACUUACAAAGUUGUAGGGCUCUAUAUUUAAGUUUCAAAAUCCAAAUUCUGAGAAAUAGGUUAGAGAAAACUGUGGCUUAGCAGUAGUAAGUCUAUCUAUGUCAUUAGUCUGUUUACUUUUCUAUCUAUAAGCUAAAAGAGAGACACACUUAAGGUCUUAAGUUAUGAGUAAGCAUUAUUUAGAUCAUUGGAAAUAUGUGGUUACAAAGGUACUAAGAUUUGGGCAGAACACAAUGAAGUAUUUAUAUUUGCAAUAGUCCCAUUGUACCCAAAACUGAUCAGACAAAUCUGGGAAUAUUUUGUACAAUUCUGGGUACCAGGUUUUUGGAAGAAAAGAGACAAAUUAGAAUAUUAGACAAGAGUAAGAACAUCAGUAACAAAUGUCAUUGAAUAUGGAUCAAAUCUGUGGUAAGCUUUAAUGAAGAUUACAGCCCACUGUGGAUGGUAUCACUCUUACCUCAGGUUAGGAGAUACAAAUAACAUCCUCAUAACCAUAUGAAGAAGAAGUACUGGUACAGGAUUUGAGUCUAGAAGUCUAAACUAACUCCAGAACUGAUGCUGUUAGUUUCACACCAUUCUUAUUCUUUUUGUAUGUGACAUAUAUUAUAGAGAUUCACCUGUGAGGGUAGCUGAGAAAUGAGGGGCUUUUUAGCUUAGAAUAGAAAAGACACAGGGGAAAAGCUGACAGGCACCAUCAAAUUUGUGAAGGUCUUUUAAGGUCAAUGGGAUGAAACUGCAGAUAGAUUACUGUUAAAUAAAAGUGGCCAGUCACAGGUGAGAGAGAGAGAGAAAAUUUCUAUCACAGUGGAGAAAUAGCAUCAGGUCUGCAGCAUAAUUUAAAGAUUAUCAGCCUGGGCUUUUGCAUCAAGUGACACACUAUAUCUACUAUAUUAUAAUUUACUAGCCUUGCAAUCUUGUCAAGAGAUUUUAAGUAUUUAAGCCAAUUUUUCUUCUCUAAAAUAAGUAAAAUACUAUAUGUCUGAGAUAAUUACACACAAAAUUCCCUCAAAUCAUGAAAAGUUCAAUAAGUGUUAAUCCAACAGUAGCAUUUGAAUUUGAAAGUCCAUAAUAAAUGAGAGAUUUUAUUACACC